rnacentral:rRNA from 1 species
UACAGGGGGUGCAAACGUUGCUCGGAAUUAUUGGGCGUAAAGCGCACGUAGGCGGCUUUGUAAGUUAGAGGUGAAAGCCCAGGGCUCAACCCUGGAAUUGCCUUUAAGACUGCAUCGCUAGAAUUGUGGAGAGGUAAGUGGAAUUCCGAGUGUAGAGGUGAAAUUCGUAGAUAUUCGGAAGAACACCAGUGGCGAAGGCGACUUACUGGACACAUAUUGACGCUGAGGUGCGAAAGCGUGGGGAGCAAACAGG